UACGUAGGGUGCAAGCGUUAAUCGGAAUUACUGGGCGUAAAGCGUGCGUAGGCGGUUGUGCAAGACAGGUGUGAAAUCCCCGGGCUUAACCUGGGAACUGCACUUGUGACUGCACAGCUGGAGUACGGCAGAGGGGGAUGGAAUUCCGCGUGUAGCAGUGAAAUGCGUAGAUAUGCGGAGGAACACCGAUGGCGAAGGCAGUCCCCUGGGCCUGUACUGACGCUCAUGCACGAAAGCGUGGGGAGCAAACAGG
rnacentral:rRNA from 1 species